UUUCUCUUCUUCCCUUUUUCGACUGACCGGCUCCCCUUCACGUCGCCACCAUCCCGUCAUGAACAAUAGAACAAGAACCCAAGAGCCUCCUUACCGUCUGCACUAAAGCUAUCAAAUGCAUUACCUAAGAAAAACCCUUUACUUCUCUUCUCACAAAUCAUCGUUACUAUCCAAAAAUGACCAAAGAACAACAACCUCCCCCAAGCCUUCCUCCGCGAGACCUGUGAUGGCACAGGUGGAGUAAGUGUCGCGGCGGUGCAUGCGGAGCAAGACGAGAACACGAAGGGUUUGGGUUCGAUUUGGGGCUAAGGCGUAUUUGACUUGUGGUUGGACUCGAUGAGGCGGUCGUAAGCAUUGAUGGUGUUGUCGAUGACGUGGUGGAAGUGGGGUUUCAUGUGGUGACUCCACCCAGUUGAAGAACUUCACCGAAAUAGAAUUUGGGGACUUUUACUCCUGGAUGUUCAAUGUACCUUUUUUAUUAUUUAAAUUUCAACUUUUAUAUGUAUAUUUUUUUUAGCAUAACUUUUAAUAUCGUUUUUGUGUUAAUCUGUUGGUGUUAGAUUUGGUUGAAUCAAGAUGUGUUCAAUGUUUAGUGUGC
rnacentral:lncRNA from 1 species